UAUAUUGACAUUUGCUCAAUAUUGCUAUAUAAUAAAUGCGUGCGUUUUGCGCACUAUAGCAAUAAACUUACCUUGUAAUAGGUGUAUUGGACCCGAGGGCAGUACUCGGCGCCUCCACCAUAUUUUUAAUUUAUGGGGGCGAUUAAGGCUCGACAUGCAUAGUAAAGAUGGUACUUUUGCUCGGUUAGACACCACCGUAAGAGUUCACAAUUUAGAUGCAAACGAUAACUUUGCUGCUGAACGUGUAGAGAGCGCUGCUGCUUAAUUUAGCACAGUAACUUUAUUACUAUAAGCACGGUUUGGGAAACGCCGGGUAACAGAAGUUUCCCACA
rnacentral:tmRNA from 1 species